CUAAAUGCAUUAACCUUCAUUGGUUAAUCCAAAUGCUGCUUUGGAUCUUUAGCUAGUGACUAGGUUAAACUGAUGGAGAUGCCCUAUCUGGAGUUGUCUUUUGACAACUCAUUGCCGUCGUUCACUAACUCAAGUCAUCAAGGAGUAUCUUUUAAUAACCGAGAUCUCUAUACCAUUAUACCUCUUCUGUUUUAACAAACUUCGUGCGUGUCUUGGCCUUCGCGGGGAACAAAGUUUCUCUCCUCCUGCCCAAUAAGUGUAAAUUAAACUACCAGUCCUGGGGUGAUGAGCAGCAUAAACCAAACCAUAACGAUGGCGUGUACUAAAGCUUUCAGUACUACUAUAAUGACUUCUUGCAGAAAUAGUCUUGUAAAAACGAAGAGUGAAACCCGUUAAUCGUUAUUAGAAAGAUACCUGCAGGCCUUUAGACAAAGUACAUCGAACCGUUCCUUUAAAACUUAGUACCUAUGUCCUAGGAAAUGUGCAUUCUGGAUAACGAGUACGCUAAACCCUAGGAGUAAAACCAGUUAGGCGACACCUUCGGAAAUGAGCUCCUCCACGAUGACCAGGUCACUUAUAACGAAUAAGACCUCAAAUAGUCACCACCAUAUGUUAUCCUAAUGCGUGGUUACUCCUAGAAAUAUGACCUCGAGAAAAAGAUAAUAAAGAAAGAUGCGACAGGAAUUAUCGCCCAACCAAUGUAGAUGUUGGGUUUACCUUUGGUUCGGAAAGCACCAAGUUUUUGCGCCUUAGAGCAGAGUUAGUAGUAAACAGUCCUGAAAAGCCCCAUUCAAGAAACCGAACCUGUCCUGUAAAUCAAGUACAACGAUAAGGGCGUAGGUCCCCCCUCAUGCAAGCUACCUUAUUAAAGAAUCUACAUAAUGGGAUAGGGGUCCCCAACCCUGGGGAAAACUGCCCAGUUACCUUAGAAAUACGGGUUUUGGGACUAAGCUCAUUAGUAAAUAAACCAUGGCGAGUUCCUCGCCCUUGACGGUAAGAUUGAGAAGAACCCCCUAAGGUAGGUGUUUG
rnacentral:rRNA from 1 species